rnacentral:rRNA from 1 species
AUUGAACGCUGGCGGCAGGCCUAACACAUGUAAGUCGAACGAGUGGCGGACGGGUGAGUAAUGUCUGGGAAACUGUCUGAUGGCGGGGGAUAACUACUGGAAACGGUAGCUAAUACCGCAUACCAUCAGAUGUGCCCAGAUGGGAUUAGCUAGUUGGUGGGGUAACGACUCACCAAGGCGACGAUCCCUAGCUGGUCUGAGAAGAUGACCGGCCAACCUGGAACUGACACACGGUCCAGCCUCCUACGGUAGGAAGCAAGGGGGAAUAUUGCAACAUGGGCGAAAGCCUGAUGCAGCCGUGCCGCGUGUAUGAAGAAGGCCUUCGUAUUGUAAAGUACUUUCAGAGGGGAGGCGUUACCCGCAGAAGAAGCACCGGCUAACUCCGUGCCAGCAGCCGCGGUAAUAC